UACGUAGGGUCCGAGCGUUGUCCGGAAUUACUGGGCGUAAAGAGCUCGUAGGCGGUUUGUCGCGUCGGGGAGUGAAAACACCGGGCUUAACUCGGUGCUUGCUUUCGAUACGGGGCAGACUAGAGGUAUGCAGGGGAGAACGGAAUUCCUGGUGUAGCGGUGGAAUGCGCAGAUAUCAGGAGGAACACCGGUGGCGAAGGCGGUUCUCUGGGCCUUACCUGACGCUGAGGAGCGAAAGCGUGGGGAGCGAACAGG
rnacentral:rRNA from 1 species